rnacentral:rRNA from 1 species
UACGUAGGGUGCAAGCGUUGUCCGGAUUUAUUGGGCGUAAAGAGCUCGUAGGCGGUUAGUCACGUCGGAUGUGAAAUCCCAGAGCUUAACUCUGGGCCUGCAUUCGAUACGGGCUGACUAGAGUGUUGUAGGGGAGACUGGAAUUCCUGGUGUAGCGGUGAAAUGCGUAGAUAUCAGGAGGAACACCUGUGGCGAAAGCGGCUCACUGGACCAUAACUGACGCUGAUGCACGAAAGCUAGGGGAGCAAACAGG